GCUAGCAUGGUGUAGUGGUUUAAUCAUUGAACUAGGACUCUGGAGAUCAGGGUUCAAAUCCCAGUUCUGCCA
rnacentral:tRNA from 1 species